AUUGAACGCUGGCGGCAGGCCUAACACAUGCAAGUCGAGCGAGCGGCGGACGGGUGAGUAAUGUAUGGGGAUCUGCCCGAUAGGGGGGGAUCACUACUGGAAACGGUGGCUAAUACCGCAUACCUUCGGAUGAACCCAUAUGGGAUUAGCUAGUAGGUGGGGUAAAGGCUCACCUAAGCGACGAUCUCUAGCUGGUCUGAGAGGAUGAUCUGUCACACUGGAAAUGAGACACGGCCCAGACUCCUACGGGAGGCAGAAGUGUGGAAACUUGCACAAUGGGCGCAAGCCUGCUGCAGCCGUGCCGCGUGUAUGAAGAAGGCCUUAGGGUUGUAAAGUCCUUUCAGCGGGGGGGCGGUACCCGCAGAAGAAGCACCAGCUAAAUCCGUGCCAGCAGCCGCGGUAAUAC
rnacentral:rRNA from 1 species